GUGGUGGUACUCAGAAGAACAUUACUGUGAGGUUGGGAGGGCUGAGGGUGAAAGGGGUGCAGACAGGAGCACAAACCACACCUGUGUCAAAAUUGGCCUUUCUUCGAUCUUGCCAGCAGUAUGCAUACAGUAGGUGCUCACUGUGUGCUACCACUGAAAAACAUAUCCUCAUCUGGUUUGGAGAUGUGAAAUUCUCUCUGCCCCACCCCUCCUCCUUAUCUCUCAAUUCUGCUUGCAUCUCAGGUUCCCUCUGGGUCCUUGGUGGACUACGACUUUGGAGGAAAUCAAUUCUAACCCUGGAUUUGCCAGUGCCUGACAGAUGUGGAGAGCACCUGAAUCAUGGCAUGCCUUGGUUUCCCCCUCAUUCAACUGCCUUUGUAGAUCAUGUUUUAAAACCUUCCACGUCUGGCGUUGGGAACGCAGCGGCGGCUUGGUGGUGGAUAGCAGGAGGCAAAGCUCGUUCUAUGGGGAAGACACCCUUCUGAAAAGCACACGCGUUAACUGCCUGACUCACGUGGUGACACGUGGCAAGCCCAAAUGCGUUAUGGAUCUCCCAGGAAUAAAAACAACACGGCGAAACCAUCACCUAG
rnacentral:lncRNA from 1 species